rnacentral:lncRNA from 1 species
CGCUGACUGACCUAAGGGGGCCACACUCCAGUUAUGCUUCAGUGAUUCCCUAUAUAAUCAAACAAAUUUUUCCCACGAAAGAGGGGCCCCCCCUCCUGGAUCCGCCUAUGAAGAGUACUCGCAGUUAUCUGACAGCUAGUUCAAAGCCACUAACAACUAAUAAAAAAAUCAUGCAUCUAAGACUAAACUAUCAAUCCGUAC